UCUUCUCCGGUGAGAGCCUAACGUCGGAAUCGAAACGGAGAAUGUCGCACAACGAUACGACGCCGCUUUACCAGUCAUCUCAGUCGGACAUCGAAGAGAUCAAGAACAUGAUCAACAACGACGGAAGCGUCCUCCCUGCUCGUCCCUCAAUCCCCGUUACGUCCUCACCGUUCGUUCAAUCCAACCUCCCACCGCCGUCUUCCUCUUCGACUCAGAAGGUGACACCUGUUCCAGUGCCUCCGUCGCUCAGGUGAUUUCAGCAGCUCGGAAGGUCCCAAGACCAUGGGAUUCGGAUCUCCGGCGAACACGUAUCUGGUUAUGAUCUUAUCAGGUACAUAGUAUCUGGAGACGUUGAGAGGGUUUCUCUAUAAUGGUGCUUCUUAGGCUAAGGCAUCACUAGACUAGACUCUAAUACUGCUGUCAGUUUUGAUGAGCAACAACUAACAGAUAUGGUGCUGUGUUACUUGUGAUUUUGAGUUUUACUACUCUCCCUUCCCUUGUCUUACUUUUAGCAGCAUCUUAUCUAAGGAUCCAGAUAUACGAUCGAUCAACCAUGCUGUAUAAUUUAACCUUGAACUUAUGUGACCAUACGGAUGGCUUUGUGUUCUCCGGUCUUUCAUAUUUUCCUGCUUAUAAAUGUUUUCUUUGCUGUGAUUUAUGAACACACCGAAUAAGAAAAUGUGAAAUCAAAAGGUUUAAACAAGGCUGUUUUGUUUUUUUUUUUUUGUUGUGUUUGAAUGUACUUGAUGUAUGCAUGAUUUAUCGGAAAAGACAUGACUGUGUUUUGUAUGCCGUUGUUUGCUUGUUUUUUAUUACCACUUAAGCAUAAGGGUAUAAGCCACGUCUGUGUUUUCAUCUGGUAGGAUAAAGAUUCUUUCUCUGUUUAUUGCAUUUUCUUCUGUUCUCAUUCUUUCUCUCUGUAGUUUCCAGUCCGAAGUGUUUGCCGUGGCAUUUGCACUACUUGCAGCCGGAGCAGUGAUCCUCUCACUAAAUGUCCUGCUCCUGGGAGGACAUAUAAUCUUCUUCCAAAGCCUAAGCCUUUUGGGCUACUGUCUAUUCCCACUGGACGUUGGAGCAGUGAUCUGCAUGUUGAAGGACAAUGUGAUACUCAAAAUGAUCGUUGUGUCUUCCACUCUUGCCCGCAGCUCUUCGGCUGCUUAUUCUUUCAUGAGCACUGC